rnacentral:tRNA from 1 species
AUUGUUUUGGCAGAUAAGUGCGAUAAAUUUAGAGUUUAUUGAUAUAUUAAUAAGUGAUAUAAAUAAUA